GUCUCAAGGUCCUCUGCCGGCAUCCCAUGUUCUUCGAUUAGUUCAUCCUGGGUGUCCAGUUCGUCAACCAGAUAGACUUCUGAGGGCUCCAUGCCAUGAAGUGCGAUAGUGUAGCACUGUUACGCCAGAGCCUGAUCUCUUCUGACUUCGCCAACUUCGAACUUAGUUGGGAAUUUCAUCUUCAGGUGAUAGGUGGACACCAUAGCUCGAAAUGCGUUGAGCUUAGACGUUCGAGGAUGGCAUUAUAGGCUGAUGGUGCCCGAACCACGAGAAAAUCAAUUUGAGUCUUGGAUCGUUGGGG
rnacentral:lncRNA from 1 species